rnacentral:ncRNA from 2 species
UGCGACACAGGAAAUGGUGUCUUCCUGCUCAGAACCGUUCCGGGUCCUCCGGAACUGAUGGCGCCUACAAAACA